ensembl:lncRNA SLC26A5-AS1 SLC26A5 antisense RNA 1
GGCCCCGCCGCCACCCUCCGCGCUGGGACGCCGGGGCGCGGGCAUCCCUGCCGCCUACGGAUCUCUUCCCAAGCACCUAGAACUUUCCAAAGCGUGCUUGGAAUUUAACACCUUGGUCGUCGAUCCCCGCAAAUAUACUCUGAUGAGACCGGCUUUCUUCCCAUACCGCCCAGGAGUUUCUCCAGGUGGCAUUCCUGUCGCCUUGAGGUGGAACAUCAGUAGAGGCUCGAGGCUGAAGCAAGCACAAUACACAAGAGACUCCGAUUCGUACAGGAACAUUUCGAAAACAGGAAAUCCUGAGGACAAUGUCCAAUUCUUUUCUAAAAGUCUUCUGGCUAGUCCCAGCAUUUCCAGGGAAGCUGAACAGGUGCAGCCGGAGGCUUGGAGCCACUAUGGAAGCAGCACAGUUGAUGCCUCAGAGGAUCCAGAGAAAAGACCAGAUAACUAUAAUUCAGCCUUCACCCAUAUUGUGUCUUUUUGAUUUUGUCUGAGUAUAUAUGCCGCACAACAAGCAGCUUAUCUCUGAGAUUCAAAUAGUUACUGCAAUUCCAUUAUCUGUUUUUUUACUGUGAGGGAUUUGGAGCCACAUUUAGUCCUACAUCACAGAUACAGGACUCAAGAGUCAAAGUGCACAGAAAUUUGAAUUCCGAUAAGAAUACUCUGAGCCAGUUUAUUCUGGGGUACAUACUUCAUUUUAUGCUAGAACUCUGCAAUCCUGAUGAAAGAGGGCUUGCAUUGCUCAACUAACUAACUCACCCGUCUCUCCUGCAGUAUUAGAAACUACUUCUGUAUGUACACGUUACAGUUUCUAGGAACUCCAUUUUUGCAAGACAGAUAGGAGCCAGAAAAUUUGUUCCUUCAACUGUAUAUCGCUAAUUAAACAUAAAAUCAAAUCAGCAUUUUAGGUACUUGAAUAACUAGUCUGUGCUUACUUUUAUUCAUAUGGAAGCAGUGUUUAAAUUAUUCUCUGAUUGUAAACUCACUUAUGUAAACCAUUAUACAGGAAAAAAAUGAGUAAUGAAGCAAAGUUCUGAAGCAGAUCUAUGUAAGCAAAUUUCAAUAACCUUCUUAAGAGAAUAUGACACUUAGUAGUGGUGAGGGACAUUUUAAGCUUUUUCUAUUUACAAGUUUUUUUUAAACGAGGGUGUUUCAAAGUAAAUAUUUGCUGUUACGUUAUGCCACAUGAUAUACUA